GACAGAGGAUGCAAGCGUUGUCCGGAAUCAUUGGGCGUAAAGCGCGCGUAGGCGGCCCCGUAAGUCCGCUGUGAAAGUCAAAGGCUCAACCUUUGAAAGCCGGUGGAAACUGUGGGGCUAGAGUCCGGAAGAGGCGAGUGGAAUUCCUGGUGUAGCGGUGGAAUGCGCAGAUAUCAGGAGGAACACCAAUAGCGAAGGCAGCUCGCUGGGACGGUACUGACGCUAAGGCGCGAAAGCGUGGGGAGCGAACAGG
rnacentral:rRNA from 1 species